rnacentral:rRNA from 1 species
UACGGAGGAUCCAAGCGUUAUCCGGAUUUAUUGGGUUUAAAGGGUGCGUAGGCGGCUUAUUAAGUCAGGGGUGAAAGACGGUGGCUCAACCAUCGCAGUGCCCUUGAUACUGAUGAGCUUGAAUACACUUGAGGUAGGCGGAAUGUGACAAGUAGCGGUGAAAUGCAUAGAUAUGUCACAGAACACCAAUUGCGAAGGCAGCUUACUACAGGAAUAUUGACACUGAUGCACGAAAGCGUGGGGAUCAAACAGG